UACGGAGGGUGCGAGCGUUGUCCGGAAUCACUGGGCGUAAAGGGCGCGUAGGUGGCGCGAGUAGUCAACGGUGAAAGCCCGGGGCUCAACCCCGGGUCGGCCGUCGAUACUCUCGUGCUUGAGCACUGUAGAGGCAGGUGGAAUUCCGGGUGUAGCGGUGGAAUGCGUAGAGAUCCGGAAGAACACCAGUGGCGAAGGCGGCUAUCUGGACGGUUUCUGACGCUAAGACGCGAAAGCGUGGGGAGCAAACAGG
rnacentral:rRNA from 1 species